GUGCUUCUGAAACGUGCUCAAAAGCUCAUUCAGCCCCUAUUGAGCUAUUCUUAUUGGGAUGAAACAUGAGAGCUAAUUUCCUAUAUUGUUUCCUUAUAAAGGAAUCUGAUUAGAAUACCACAUGUUCAAACUUAUGCACUUGUACUAGACUCAGUUAACAGGGAAAGUCUAUGGCAAUGAAUUAAUCCUCAUGAGAGUAAUGGAAUCAAUCAACAUGAAGUUAUUCUCAUGCUAAGAAAAAAAACGAACAUACAAAUAACUAAAAUGGUUCCUAGAAUAGCGGGACACACAGAUUUACACGAUUCAGAGAAAAGUGCCACCAGACCAACAAAACAACAAAUAUUUUCCUUUCAAAUCCAUCCAAGCACAAAAUACUCAAAACAUUAUUUAAUCCUGAAUGUC
rnacentral:lncRNA from 1 species